rnacentral:tRNA from 1 species
GGGGCCGUGGGGUAGCGGUAUCCUUCGGGCCUUGGGUGCCCGCCACCCCGGUUCGAAUCCGGGCGGCCCCA